rnacentral:rRNA from 1 species
CGACGUGAGUAACCUGCCUCAUACAGGGGAAUAACAGUUAGAAAUGACUGCUAAUGCCGCAUAAGCGCACAGGGCCGCAUGGCCCGGUGUGAAAAACUCCGGUGGUAUGAGAUGGACUCGCGUCUGAUUAGCUGGUUGGUGAGGUAACGGCCCACCAAGGCGACGAUCAGUAGCCGGCCUGAGAGGGUGAACGGCCACAUUGGGACUGAGACACGGCCCAA